rnacentral:rRNA from 1 species
ACUCAAAUGAAUUGACGGGGGCCCGCACAAGCGGUGGAGCAUGUGGUUUAAUUCGACGCAACGCGAAGAACCUUACCUGGGCUUGACAUGGCGGUGAAAGCCGGUGGAAACACCGGCCCUCCUUCGGGACGCCGUCACAGGUGCUGCAUGGCUGUCGUCAGCUCGUGUCGUGAGAUGUUGGGUUAAGUCCCGCAACGAGCGCAACCCUCGCCCCUAGUUACCAGCGGGUCAUGCCGGGGACUCUAGGGGGACUGCCGGUGCCAAACCGGAGGAAGGUGAGGACGACGUCAAGUCAUCAUGGUCCUUACGCCCAGGGCCACACACGUGCUACAAUGGCACCGACAGAAGGCCGCGAGCCGGCAACGGCGAGCCAAUCCCCAAACGGUGCCUCAGUUCGGAUUGUCCUCUGCAACUCGAGGGCAUGAAGCUGGAAUCGCUAGUAAUCGUGGAUCAGCUACGCCACGGUGAAUACGUUCCCGGGCCUUGUACACACCGCCCGU